UACGUAGGGUGCAAGCGUUAAUCGGAAUUACUGGGCGUAAAGCGUGCGCAGGCGGUUUUGUAAGUCUGUCGUGAAAUCCCCGGGCUCAACCUGGGAAUGGCGAUGGAGACUGCAAGGCUAGAGUUUGGCAGAGGGGGGUAGAAUUCCACGUGUAGCAGUGAAAUGCGUAGAUAUGUGGAGGAACACCGAUGGCGAAGGCAGCCCCCUGGGUCAAAACUGACGCUCAUGCACGAAAGCGUGGGGAGCAAACAGG
rnacentral:rRNA from 1 species